rnacentral:rRNA from 1 species
UACGUAGGGUGCAAGCAUUAAUCGGAUUUAUUGGGCGUAAAGGGCGCGUAGGCGGGCGUUUAAGUCAGAUGUGAAAUCCCGGAGCUCAACUCCGGAACAGCAUUUGAAACUGAACAUCUAGAGGGUAGGCGGAGAAAACGGAAUUCCACAAGUAGCGGUGAAAUGCGUAGAUAUGUGGAAGAACACCAGUGGCGAAGGCGGUUUUCUAGCUUACACCUGACGCUGAUGCGCGAAAGCAAGGGGAGCAAACAGG